GCCUAUAGCUCAGUUGGUUAGAGCGCUCGACUCAUAAUCGAUCGGUCGCAGGUUCAAGUCCUGCUGGGCCC
rnacentral:tRNA from 1 species